CCAGACUCCUACGGGAGGCAGCAGUGAGGAAUAUUGGUCAAUGGGCUUACGCCUGAACCAGCCAAGUCGCGUGAGGGAAGACUGCCCCAUGGGUUGUAAACCUCUUUUGUCAGGGAGCAAUUGGCGCUACGUGUCGCGUUAUCGAGAGUACCUGAAGAAAAAGCAUCGGCUAACUCCGUGCCAGCAGCCGCGGUAAUACGGAGGAUGCGAGCGUUAUCCGGGUUUAUUGGGUUUAAAGGGUGGGGAAGGGGGGAUGCCAGGUCAGCGGUAAAAUCGGGGGGCCAAACCCCGCUCCGCCGUUGAAACUGGCGUUCUUGAGUGGGCGAGAAGUAUGCGGAAUGCGUGGUGUAGCGGUGAAAUGCAUAGAUAUCACGCAGAACUCCGAUUGCGAAGGCAGCAUACCGGCGCCCAACUGACGCUGAAGCACGAAAGCGUGGGUAUCGAACAGGAUUAGAUACCCUGGUA
rnacentral:rRNA from 1 species